UAUCACCCCAGGUGUUUGCGGCCAAUCGCCCCACCUGUUGUGCCUUAAUUAUGGGUUUCUCUGUAGUUGGACUUUGUUGAAUUGAUGUUCCUCUGCCUCCAUUUAUUUAGUUUCAUUUUCUUCACGCUGUUUGCCACUGACAGAGAGGAGAGAAGCAUCUGAGCAGUGCAGUUUACUUCCAGCAUGGACCGAGCUGAAUCCCUUGUAUCAUCGGGAUCAAGCCCCACCAGAAUGGGUGAUCUGAUCGUCUCCGAGCUGUGCCGCGUCUCAGAGAGCUCAACUGCCCGGUCCAGACAGGAAAACAGGACAUGAGCUCCUCUCCAGACCCUGGCACAGCGUGGUGAAGGCCUGAAGCUUUUGGAGGCUUUUCAGGGAAUUUUGGCCAAAGAAUGAGCCUCGCAUUCUCAUCAUCUGUGAGAAUCAAGUCCUGGACUGACUCGCACUGAAAUGGACCCAAAAACUUACAGACGAAGUGUAGCUGAUGCAAAACAUGUUGUGAAGCAGCUGCAUUAACGAGAUUGUGGGGCAGGACAGAGCAAACUGCGACAGCUGGAGAGCAGAAGAAUCAGAACCAGGACUUGAUCUCUGCAGCCUGGAUUUUAAAGGGACUAGAAUCGUCCUCCUCCUCCUUUCUGGACUUCAUCAAGUCGUCUUCAUCACACCUGAAUGCAUGGAGAAGCUGCAACAAGGGACCAGAAACGUAUGUACAGUUCUCUGUGGAAGCGCGGAAGACUGUUCUCCGUCGCUCCGUCUUUCUCGUGACGUCGGUGAAAACCUUCAGAGAGGUCGUAGGCAGUGUUUGGAUGGCUGCAGGAGAAAACAAAAGCGGCACUCUGCAGGUUAAUGAGGCCAGGAAGACGCUUUGUGUCGAGCUUCAUCAGUAUUCAGCGGAGGUCCCCCACCCGUGCUCUCCCAAUAUUAUGCCAGUCAUUUAGGGGAAUCGCACUGCGGCUGCACCACAAUGACUGGGACCAUGUUGGCCCCCCCACCCUCUGUGAGGGGCCUCCUGGCUGCAGAGUACCAGCACCACCAAGUGGAGAAAUAGAUUAUUACAGCCUUAUUCGUGUCACUCUUUCCUCGCCUGUGGAAUAGUACAAGUGGUAUUUAAUGUAAUCACUUAUACAAAUAUGACAUCUCUGAACAGACUCACUAAGAUUUAAAGCAGCUCAGGUUUGAUGAACUAUUGGAGAAUUGUUAGUAAUAGGAUACUAUGUGAAGUUAUGAGGAAAUCAGUUUAUGAAUGAAUGAAAAUGCCUUCUAGAAUAGAUUAAGAAACAAAAUACCGUGCUGUUA